rnacentral:rRNA from 1 species
GAUCAUGGCUCAGGAUGAACGCUAGCUACAGGCUUAACACAUGCAAGUCGAGGGGCAGCUAUGGUCUUAGCUUGCUAAGGCCGAUGGCGACCGGCGCACGGGUGAGUAACGCGUAGUCCAACCUGCCUUACACUCUUGGACAGCCUUCUGAAAGGGAGAUUAAUACAAGAUGUUAUCAUGAGUAAGCAUUUUCGCAUGAUUAAAGGUUUACCGGUGUAAGGAUUGGGGAUGCG